rnacentral:lncRNA from 1 species
AUUUUUUAAAGUUUUAAAGCUUUUAAAGCAAAAGCUGGCCCCUGCCCUCUCCCAGAGUGGGUGGGGACAGCGGUUUCAUGAUCAGCUUUCCUUGUGAUACCACAGGUCCCUCUGGACAUGCUGCUGCCUGGCCACGCCUUCUUUUGCUUUCAUCUUUCUCAUUGACCAAUGGGCUUGGAUCAUUAAGGCCACACCCCUAUUCUGCAUUCUAGUGGGGCCCUGGUUACGCCUCCUCUGGCUCAGUCACACAGCUGCCUGGUAGGUGACUGGAGGUAUUUGGCAGUCAUUGCUGGGAUUUUGCUGAUAUGGCACCAACCCUGCCUGCCUUCCCACCUCAUGAUGGCUGAAGAAACUCAACAGAGCAAAUUGGCUGCAGCCAAGAAAAAGUUAAAAGAGUAUCAGCAGAGGAACAGCCCUGGUGUUCCAGCAGGAGUGAAGAGAAAAAAGAAAAACACAGCAGUAACCCUGAGACAACCACUUCUGGUGCUUUCCACUCACCUGGAGAUUCAACAGUGCAAAGGCAGAUAUUGCAUCUCAGACAUAUGUUUGUGACAUGAGAGCAGGAAAUGAAGUCACAGCCUCCUCUAUGAAUGGAAUCACAGCGAUGUGAAGAGAGGGAGUGGUGACAGAACUGAAAUACCCCACAUGGCUCCCAUGGCCCGGGUUCUCAUAGCCCAAAACACCAUGAGCCACGGCACUCAGAGCCUUGGGCGCGCCCACGCCAGUCAUUGAUAUCAUCGCAUCAAAACAGCAGCGUUUGUCAUGUUAAAGCAUACUAGUUAAUUUAAACUGUAUCUGGCUUUAUGGCCUUAUUUGUAUUGUAUUGCAAUUUCUAGUUUUAGAAAUCUAUAAUACUAUAAGCAUAAAAUGAUCUUGAUGCUCAUUUCACUGACUAAUAAAAAUGAUUUAAUUGGCCCCGGUGCAGUGGCUCACACCUGUAAUGCUAGCACUUUGGGAGGCCAAGGCGGGUGGAUCACAAGGUCAGGAAUUCGACACCAGCCUGGCCAACAUAGUGAAACCCAGUCUCUACUAAAAAUACAAAAAAAUUAGCCAGGUGUGGUGGUGGGCACUUAUGUAAUCCCAGCUAUUCAGAAGGCUGAAACAGGAGAAUCACUUGAACCCAGCAGGUGGAGGUUGCAGUGAGCUGAAAUCGCAUCAUUGGACUCCAGCCUAGGUGACAGUGCGAGACUCAGUCUCAAAAAAAAAAAAAAAAAGAUUUAAUUUUUAAUUGGAUACCUGGGGGUCAUUCAACUUCUUCCCUCUAAAAGCUGUUCAAAUGUUGUUUGAGUUUGAGAAGAUACAUUAAACCUGCUGUCCCCAACAUUGAUGGAAGAUGGAACAAUGGGUAUCAUUAUCCACCCUCAUUUUUUUUAAUGAAGGAGUUGGAGUUCCACACAGAAGAACUUGCUCAAUAUCAUUCUUCUCAUCUAUGUUUGAACUAGAACCAGAGUCCCAAGUCUUCUAGGGUAGUAGAGGGAAGUCUAGAGAAAAGGUUGCAAACUGGUGGUCCAUAGGCAAACUUCGGUCUCUUCCUACAAAGUAUUAAAAAAUUAAGAUCAUUCACAUUAAAAAUCCCGAUUUUCCAGCUUCUCUUGAAAAAUUAGACCUGAUGACAGUGACCCACAUUCCUACAUGACAAACAGUGGUCAGGAUUUGGACCCAUUGCUCUGCAUCAGGGGGGCUCAGACCUACCUCAGGGCCUCUCUCAAAUCUCCCGGGCUUCUGCUCCAAGGCAAAGUCUGAUUGAGCAGGUUUGCGGUGGGGCCUGAGAUUCUAACAGGCUCCCAGGUGGUGUGAAUACUCCUGGUCCAGACAUCUGACUCUGAUCUCUUCUGCCUCCAUCUUUCACUUUUAAGGACCUCUCUGCUUACACUGGCCCCAUUUGGAUAAUCCAGGAUCGUCUCCUUUUAUAAAGUCAGAUGACUAGCAACCUUAAUUCCAUCCGCAACCUUAGUUCCCCUUUGCCAUGUCACCAAACAUAUUCACAAAUUCUGAGGAUUAGGUCCUGGGCAUCUUUGGCGAGCCAUUAUUCUGCCCACUACAUUCAGUAAAUAUGCAUUAUUUUGCUAUUCAAAUUAAAUUAAUUUCACCUUUCUACCCUGCCCAAAGCCUUGGUCAGAUAGGCAAGGUCAUUAACAUCUGGUUCCUCUAGCCCUCAGUAAUGUCAACUCAGGUCCUUAUUUGUUUUUCUCAGUAAAACCAACAGUAGCCAGCUGUUAUCUUGUGGCUUUAUAUAGACAGGCUGAUGACAGGGAAAUAGAUUGGCCAUGAAAAGUUCUACAAAGCCAGUGAGCACCCAGUCAAGGCCAAUACCAGCUCAGGGGAGCUCAGACAGUUGAGAAGGUUAAGAAUGAAUAUCUAAUUUUAAAAUCAGAUGGCCAGGCAUCAUGGCUCAUCCUUGCAAUCCCAGCACUUUGGAAGGCCAAGGUGGGCAGUGGGCAGACCGCUUGAGUCCAGGAAUUUGAGACCAGCAUUCCCAACAUGGUGAAACCCUAUCUCUACCAGGAAAAAAUACACACAUACACACAUAUCCAGAAGCAUAUAUAUCUGUGUGUGUGUGUGUGUGUGUGUGUGUGUGUGUUUGUGUGUGUGUAUGUAUAUAUAUACACGAAGUUAUCUGGGUGUGAUGGCACACACCUCUAGUCCCAGCUACUUUGGAGGCCGAAGUGGGAGGAUUGCUUGAGCUUGGGAGGUUGAAGCUGCAGUGAGCUAUGAUUUCACCACUGCACUCCAGCUGGGAAGACACAGCAAGAUCCUCUCUUAAAAUAAUAAUAAACCAGAGCUUAACCAGAGCUUAAGCUCUGAUUUAUUAUCAUUAUUUAUAGAAGUGAGGUGCCUCCCACACCCACUGUGGAGCUGGAACCACAGUGGCCUUCUGACUGUCCCCACCUACUCCCUUGGAAGAAAGGGAAGAGGCGAGUCUUCAGGCCAACAUGGGUUUGUACAUAGGCUCCUUCACCCACAGGCUAUGUGACCUGGGGAGAAGGAUUAACUCCCCUGGGCGUCCUUUUCCCCAUCUGUAGGAUGGGGAAAACUUUGCAAGGCUGUUGUAAGAACUUGCGAUGACAUUUGGCACAGGGCAGAUGCUCAGGGCUCCUGAGCAGUGACAUUACAUCUCAUCCUCGGGUCCCCUGCAGCCUGAUACAUCCCAGAAAGAGUCAUCUUCUGCUUCUGUGCUUUUGGUUUUCACUUCUCCAUCCCUUUGCCCACAACCUGUUUCUUGCCCUCUGCAGGUUGAAUGAUCUCGAAGGCAUUUCACACUACAGUCUCAAAUUACUUUUUUAAAAUCCUUUUGCUUCCACUAAUAAUGAAUAAAUACUUUGACGGUGUAAAAUAUUCUAACAAUACAGAAAUGAAUUUAUAAAGAGUAAAAUAUGCAAGUCCCUCUUAACUCUCACUCACUGCCCCAGACAACCUCUGCCAAUAGUUUGGUGUAUAUUCAUCUGCCCUUUGUAUUCAUUUGCAUAUAUGUACA